GUGCCUGCAAGUUAAAAAUCAUGUAGCUAAUUUAUAUCUUUUUUAUUUAAUUUUAAUCUAUUCAAGAAAAAAGUACAACUGCAGACAGAAAUAUAAUGUGAAUAGCCUUACUAAUAUAAAGGAUCCAAAAACAAUAACUUGGGCAAAUUCCAUUCACAAACAGUCAAACAAAGAAUUGGCCUAUCAUGUUUUACAUUAAUUAUAGGACUACACCACUGAUAACCAGAAACAAAGGGAAGAUAUUACAGGAUGACAACCUGAACUCAUCAAACCUUCUAACGGUCGACAAAGCAUGAAAUGCAAGUAGGAGAAAA
rnacentral:misc_RNA from 1 species